CAUCUCUUAGGGUGCACUUAUAGAGCAAGGUUUGUCAUUCAGUUUUUCAUAAAAAACUGCAACUUCAAAGAUAGUAAGAUCUCUAGUACUCAGCAUUCUAGGGGUGACUUGAUUAAGAUAGGCGAAGCCAGAAACAAUCUUCCUCAUAGUUUCAGUGUCUCAAGCAUAAGGUGGCACACCGUACAGACGAAGCAUCACAUGAAUCUGCUGAUGAUGAGGGGCGGCCCUUUCUCUAUAUGACCAAGGUUGAACGGAGUGUGAAAAAUUCAUGACGCAUGGUGCCACGCUAGAGGGGAUGCAUUAGAGAGAUUCGAGCAGCAAAGGUGAUUAAGAAGGUAUUAUCACCUAGCUUAAUCGGGUCCCAAUCAAACCUUGGAUUAACAUGAGAGCUUGUGCAACUCAGAUGCAUUUGAAAGCUGGUCCCCCUCUCUUAUGGGAAGGAUGUGGACAACCCUAUAAUAGUGCUGCAAAUGAACAUCUCCAGUUGGCAAGAAAACUUUGAAGUUUUCUGUCCUUCCUUCGACAAAAAAAUCUCCCAAAUUAUCCAUGUUUUGGCCCACCCUACAAUGCUAGGAAAGACCAUUAAAACAAGUCAUUUAAAUUGCGGAUCAACUGAAAUUAUUUUCAUUAAUCUGGAAUGUUUGUGUACAUAUUUGAUAAGACCAUUAAACAUUAGCUACAAUAAGGAAUCAGGAAAGUUACAAAACCAAAACCAAACAACACAAUUCAAGGCAAACACGGCUAUUCCCUAUUAACCCCAAUCCUUCCAAAUAGUAGAGUGUCACGAAUAAUAACAAACACCCAAGAUCCAAGCAAUGCAUACUUGUAGAACUUCUCCUUCCCUAGAGCUAUUGCUUCCUUUUCCAUAGCUAGUUUCUCCUUAGCAUAAGCAAUUUCUCCCUUUUCUAUCACAACAUCUGCCACUUGUUGAAGCCUUGAGAAUUUAUCCAAAAUUUUAGCAGUAAAUUCAAUCCCACUUAAAGUACUUUCAUUGCUCAUCAAUUCAUAAAACAAUGUUCCAAAUACUCAAAUUUUCUCUCCUAUCUAACUAGAAAAAUAUGGAAAUCAAAAAAUAUUUCCUAUGGUCUAUGAUGUUCUAACAUUUGAUCUUCCCCACAAUCG
rnacentral:lncRNA from 1 species